UCUUUUGUCACUUUUAUCUUUUCACCACUCAAGUUUUCAUUCUUUUAUUUUUGCACUUACAGGCAUUUUAGGGUUUUAACACCAUCAAUCCACACUUUGAAAACCCUAAACAAUAUUCACGUACACAACAAGCAGACCCCCUAUCUCUCUCGUGUCUUGACCGGCGACCAGAGAUCGGAGCUCCGGCGCCACGUUUUUCUCCGGCGAAUCACUCACCCAUACACCCACACCCUUUUCUCACUCUCUCGCGCCGCUCCGACGACCGGAGAUCGAGGUUCCGGCCAGCUCCGCCAUCAUUUUCGACAACCACAACCACUCUCUGACACCCUCCUUGCUUCUCUGAUGAUGACGGCUGAAGAUGAUGUUUCGCUAUGAACAUGAUCGAAGAUGAUGAUAUUGACGCUGGUUAUGGUUGACGGCGACGGUUGUGCCUCGGAACUCCGGAAGCCGUGAUGUAUUCGUCCGGUGACGGCGGAGAGUCGCCCGCGACAGUGGCGACAGGGCAGUGGUGGUGGUUGUGCUAACAGGCCACUCCAUCUCAGAUACGUUCGGUUCAGUCAAGUCCGGCUUAGAUUCAGGCGACACGGUUCAACUCGGUUUGGUUCGGUUCAGGUUCUACUCGGGUCAGACGCGGUUCGGGUUUCACAAUGGGUCAACAGUACAAGAUAUCGCAUCUCAAUUCAUAGUACAAGGUAUCGCAUCUAGAUGUUAGUAGGUAGUGCCAAAAUACCUUUUGAAGCUGUUUAUUGGACCGAUUUUUGAUUCGUUAUGUGCAAUUAGAUGUUAGUAGGUAGUGCAUCUUAUUAGGAGUUUGAAUUGUUUAAAUAAGUGUGCUACUGUGCAAUUGGUUCAAGUAUUGAACAUUUGAACAACCGAAUUACUGUAAGGACACAUUUGCAUCUAAUUAGUUCCAUAGUUUUGUGUUUUGGUGAGAUUUUACGGUUUUCGCCGGUUUACGCCACGUGCUAUGUAUGUGAAGAUGUCUGAUUGAAAAUGAUGAUCGUUGGUUAUUUGGAACCUUAGACUCCUUGGAACAUAGGUUUCAAUUCAGUU